GAGGUGGGCAAGUUAGUUGCUCCAAAAACAAGAUAAAGUGAUUGAGUUAUUUUCUCAAGCGGGAGUCGGAGUUUAUCUGCUCUGAGAGCCCCAGCAGCUACUAUUAAUAAGUGUCUGGAAUAUGUUCCUGGCAUUUCACCUACCCUCUCUCCAAUCCUUCCAAGAAACUCACAAAGCAGGGCUUUUUCUUGAACUUCUCUUCCUCACAACAGUUAAAUCAUCCAUUUAAAGAUGUCAGACAACCUCCGUGUUCUAAGAUGCUGGACCCCUGAAUAUGGAGGGCCAACUACACUAGAAACACACACACUAGCUGAGAAAGAUGGUGGCUUAAGGCCAAGGGCCUCCGCUAGCACCCAUGAGAACUUUGUGUUCUUGAGAAUAAGACACCUUUGCUCCAGGGCUUAGUGAGCAGGGCCUGAACUGGAGUUCCCUCCCACCACCUUAACUGAACUCUUCAUGCAGGACACAGCAUGUACAACCUCACAUAGAGUUCCUGACCAGACAAGACUUGCUGGAAAUUUCCCAGAAUCUUCCUUCCUUAAGCAUCCAUCAUGGGAAGCCACCUUGCCCUAGGGAGAGCUCCUGACCUAGGGUCAGGAAUAUAUUAAGGAAGACAGCAAUUAAUAAAUUCAAAAAUAAUAAUAAUUACAAAUUAUGUCUCUGUGUUAGGAAAACUUGGAUAAGCAGGUCCAUAGAAAUUCCUCUGCUAGCCCUGUCUCCUGGAAUUUCUACAUAAUGGCAUAUCCUCAG
rnacentral:antisense_RNA from 1 species